UGCUUCGGUCUCGUGGCUUCUGGAGCCUUCUAGAUGUAAUAUAAUUGCGCGGCACGUUAAUAUCUCUAUGUAAUCCCGACGUGUGGGCCUUUCUUCCGUAUUUCCUGAUAACCCCCUGCAGAAAUAGACAAACACCAAAACUCGUGGAAUUCUGUCAGAUAAAACCCUAAGUCUAGAUGUUGAUUUCAUUUGGAUCCUUUUCUUUGUUUAUUUGAUAAUUAAAUUUGAUACUUAAGGACCGUCAACAAACUCCCCCAAUCUUACCUCUUGCUCGUCCCUGAGCAAGGAUAGACUCAGCUAUGGAUCAGAAAUAAUUGCAAAAUCUUUAAAAAAAUUGACGGUACACAUGCUCUUAAAUAAGAACUCAUCUCUGAGUUAGAGUAAACUGUCAAGACUUAAAACUUACUUACUUUACCUUCACCAUGGGACUUGUAACCGUCACUUCUGUCUUGAGUAGUUAAAAGAUAGAACAGUCUAGUCAAGUGCCAUGUCUCUCAUUCUUGAUCAGCUAGGUUUUUGCAGAUUUUUCAAAUAAAACUCAGAGAUUCCUUGUAUGACUCUCUCAAAUCUCUCUUUUGUGGUAUUUCUGGAUCCUUACCAAGGUAGUGAUGGUAUAUGCCUUCUCUCAAGAAAUGUAGUAUUUCUGGUAUGAGGUAUAGUGACAUUGCCCUCUCUCUCACCCUACUCUAAUAAGGCUUUAAUAUCUGGAGCUCAUAGGUGGGAGAUAAAGUAUACAUACUUACAAGACAUGUAUUGCAUAGUCAAACCAUGGAUCCAAAGAAAUAAAUCAAUAAGCCAAAUCAAGAUGUGCAUGUGUGGCGAAUGAAUGAUGUAUGGUGAUGAUGGUGAUAACAAUGGUGAAAACAAUGGUGGUGGAAGUCUAAUUCUACUUUGCUCUUUGAGGGGAUACAUACCUUCCUUGCUUUUGAAACUUUAUGAGGAGAAUGAGAUGCUCUUCUUUUUCUUGUCUCUCAGGUGGGUAUCUUGUACCCCUAAUUCUACUAUCGGACACUUGUCCAUUUUUACCUCUCGUCUCACUUUUUCUUUUCUUUCGAGGUUCCGAGCACUUGCUCCUUUUUAUUUCCUCGUUUUUAUUAUUUUCUUUUUCUCUCUUCUUCUCUUUUUUUUCAGAGCAUUCAUCUCUUGAGAUAAUAUAGCAAGUGGUAGUAACAAGAUAACUUGAGUAUUUAUUUCACAAGGGGAAACAGAAUUAUUUUUGGUUAUUCUCUCCCGGAUUAGGAGUAGAAUAUUUUUCGGUGAUUCUGGAGAUGGAAUGGAUGGAUAUAUGUGGAUGGUACUUCCGGAGUAGAAGUAGCAUAUAUGAGUGAACGUGCAAGUGAAUCUUGAUUUAACCACAUGACAAGCUCCUAAGGGUCUACACAGCUUGACCACACUCAAUGCUCAUAAGCAGUAAAUAUUAAAUGUGUGGCUCAAAGUCUAGCAAGCAUGUAUAUAUGGCUGUGGUAGGAAUUUAAACUCUCAUCAUACAGGAACUCAUCAUGCAACAUUUUAAAGAUUUUCAAAGAUAAAAUUCUCCAGAAUUCUAGCAUCUCUAGGAACAGAUAAACAGCAGCUCAACCUUCUCAUAUCGUAUCCGUUAACAACUUAGACUUCAGAUCAAGUUUUCAUCCCACAAGUUUAGGUCUAGAGCAAGCCUUAAAUUAUAAAAGUUAUAUCUAAACUUGAGAGAGAACUUAAAAUGUGCAAAUUAGGCAGAGCAACUAUUCAUCACAUCCAUGCUUAAGUUUUAUUUAGAUACAGAUUAGCAUAGCCACUUUAUUUAUUUAUUAAACACACUAAGCAAAAGAUAAAUAAGCACGAAAUCUUUAUUUGGUUUUUCCUAGUUUAUGUAUUUUAAUAUUCUAAUAUAAUAUAAGUAUGAAGAUAGAUAGAAAUACUUAUCGAGAUAAAUGGGGGUGCUCUCCCCCAAGCUGAAUUUUGACGUAAUUUCUCUUGAUGUAGCUAGCAGGUGGCAGAGGUGUAUUUGAAAGUCAGCAGCAUUCUGACAGCGAUUAGAAUGUCCUCCGUCUGCUAGUCUUCUUGAUUCUUAAAUUCUGUUUAGCUCAAAUAGACAACAAAGCUUGUGGAACUGAUUAAGUGUUAGCAUAAAUAUCUAGCCUUUAUCAUGUUGAGACUCCUUAAUAAAUAUUACUCCCUGUUUUUAUAUUUUUGUUUUUAUAAAGCAGAAAAAUAUUUAUUUUAUUUUUAUGCCACCACAGUGAAUGUACUUAUGGGUUUUAUGCCACUCGUCUACUCACAUGGAGCUUACAGUUUUUCACAUUUUUAUUUUCUUUCUAGGAUAAUACGAACAUGAUUAACUAAGUAAACUAUUUGAAAUAAUUGAAAGGGAAAGGAUAACUACCAAGUUUACCUCUUGGCAAGGCGUUCGGUGUUUUUAAGUCCUCCGAACGGGACUAUCCAUUUUCUCAAUUGUCCUGAGGUUCAUUGGGUGGCGUAGUCGGUACUUCCGGCAGCGCCUCCUCUUCUUGUAUAGUUAUCUUCAUUUUCCAUACCUGACUCGGUGCUUCAAUCUCCUCUGGAUAAUUCUGUUUAAACUCAACGUCUUCUGAUCUUACAAAUUCUCCUUCAUAGUCUGCCCAUCCGUCCUUGAUGAUCUGCCUCCUCUGGUUGCGGUUGCGUCUCUUUCUGACCUGCUUAGAUUCUUCAACGAUAUAGUCAGGGUCAAUAAAAUAACGGCGUACCUUCUUUGAGGGAAAGUGCAUAUAGACUUCUCUGGUUCCAAUGUAGAUAAUUGCUUUAACGGUGCUGAGGAACGGUCUUCCAAGGAUGAUGAGUGGAUCAUACUCAUCUUCUCCCAUGUCAACAACUUGAAAGUCUGUGUAGACAAAGUGAUCGUCUAUUUUGACUGGGACAUCAGUUACUGUUCCUUUGACUUCUCGAAAUGUCUGAUCUGCCAUCUGGAGCUGAAUGUAUGUUGGUCUUAGUGGCAUGGUCCCGAACAAGAGCCGAUACGUGACUGCGGCCAUUAUGUUGAUGCCCGAUCCGGUGUCGCAAAUUGUCUUGUAGAAGCUAUAUCCAUGUAUAGAGCAGUAGAUGCUUGGCAUUCCUGGGUCGUCCUUCUUGGUCAAAAACGGUGACUUAAGUUGAUGAUCUUGGCCUCCAUGAAUUGCAGUGACCAUCUUAGCUGACUCGGUCCACACUUGCUUGUUCUUGUUUCUCCUGUUGGUCCUCUUCUUUGAUUUACGUCUGGAUUGAUCUUGAAUUUGUGUAGUCUUGUUCUUGAAGAAAAAUGUCUCCUUCUUCCCUUUGACGUAGAAACUGAUCUUGGCAGCACUAGCAUAGAUGAUAGCUCCCGUGGUGUUCAAGAAUGGCCUCCCUAGGAUGAUAGGUGCUCUCUCAUCAUUUCCGGUCUCUACCACUACGAAGUCUGCUGGGGCAUAUAAGGUACCAACUCGGACACAAAGGUUCUUCACUAUUCCUUUUGGAAAAGUUAUCGUCUGAUCUGCAAACUGCAAACACAUGGUUGUCUCUAAUAAAGGAUAUGUAAAGAAUUUUUCAUAGAGUACCCUGGGUAUAAUGUUGACACUGGAGCCAAAGUCACAGAGUGCUUCUGGGACGUCCACCAUGCCGAUGGAGAUCGGGAUGACGGGGCGUCCUGGAUCUCCUCUCUUGACCGGCACAAGGUCAGUAGAAAACUCAGUGACGGGGUUACUCCAAUUACCUGCAUCAAACAAGUCUACAAGAUUUGCAUAUUUUAAUCCUUCCGGUUGUGAUGGUAUACCGGGGUUAGUAGUAGGAACAGCAGCAGCUAUUUGAUUUAACUGAGAUUCAAUCAUUUUAUUAAAGCUAAUUUGAUUCUUGAUGGCAGUAGAGAAAUUAUCCAUUCUAUUAUUUAUAUUUUCUAACAUUUUAUCAUUAGAUGCCAAUUUCUUAGAUAGGUUAUCCAUUAGCUUUCCUUGAUUAGACACUAACUCUCUCAAAGGUGGAAAAUUAUUAUUAUUGUUGUAAGAAUUGUUACCUUGAUAAUUACCUGAGUAGUUAGGCCUCUGUUGAUUCCAACCUUGAUUUUGUUGAGGACGGUUGUAGUAGUUGUUGUUGUUGUUGUUGAUGUAGUUCACAUCCUCAAGCAUCUCAGGGCAGUGGUUGCCUGAGUGUCCAGUGUCUCCACACUCCUCACAAGUCAUGUGAGAGUCGUAGAUGUGCAUAACUUCUUUCUUGUCUCCGGCUCUAUCAUCGAGCUUCUUCAUGAGCAGGUCUAGCUUUGCAGACAGCAUGUCUACCUCCUUCAGCUGAUGCAUACCUCCACCUCUCUUGCGUGUCUGGGUCCUCUCUUCAUUCCAGCUUUGAUUGGACGCCAUCUUCUCCACAAGAGCUGUGGCUUGUGGUAUAGUAAGUGAUAAGAAUACUCCUCCAGCUGCAGCAUCCAUGGUCUCUCGGGCACUGUUGCCGAGCCCAUGAUAGAACGUCUGCAUCAGUAGCCAACUCUCCAUUCCAUGAUGGGGACAUUCUAGGAUGUAGUCUUGAAAGUGCUCCCAUGCUUCUGGAACAGAUUCAUCAUUUUGUUGCUGAAAACUUGUAAUCUUCCCACGGAGAGCAUUGGUCUUGCCCAUGGGAAAGAACUUUGCCAGGAAGUUUAUUGAGCAGAGUGCCCACGUAGUAUUCUUCUCCUUUGUAGCGUAGAACCACUCCUUCGCUCUUCCUAACAGUGAGAAUGGGAAGAGGCGAAGUAGUAUAGCAUCUUUGGAAACUCCUGAUAUGGUGAAUGUGUUGCAAAUCUCCAGGAAGUGUUGUAAAUGAGCACUAGCAUCUUCGUGUGCCUUCCCACAGAACUGGUUGGAUUACACCAUGUUGAUAAGUCCAGGCUUGAGCUCAAAGUUGCCAUCGAUCUCUGCAGCAGGUCCAGUGCGGAUGUUGUCCGUAGUGGGAGCUGAGAACUCGCGGAUCGAUUUGUUCGCCAUGGCUUCGAACUCUGAAGACAAGUUCCGGUGAUCUUCUUGAUUGGAUGAAGCUUCUUCGUGAAGUGUUGAUGAUUUCUUCUUGGCUCUCGUCUUCUUGAAUAAUGCUUCGGGAUUGUCAACAAAAUUUCCUGGAAGAUGUCUUCUAUUCAUACAUUCCCCUGCAUAAGAUAAAAUAGAAAAAUAUCGGGGUAAAACUGUAUGAGAGAAUAGAUAAGCUCAAUCAUAUUAGUGAUGCGAAUGAUGACUCAAAAUCUUUUAUUCCAUUCCUGAUUAGUAAUCAACCUUCCCCGGCAACGGCGCCAAAAAUGCUUGUUGGGUAUUCUUAACAUCAUUACCAAAAGUAGACUAAGUUCUCUAAAUCUAGUAACGGUGCCAAAAAUGCCAAACCUAUCCCUCACACCACUUAAGCCAAGUUGUCAUCCCCAGCAUGACAUGAGAGACGCGGUAUUGAAAUAUGCAAUUGCUCUUCUAAAUAAAUAAUAAAUAGGAUCUGCAAGCGCACAGAUUAAUACCGAUGUAGCAUUUUAACCGGGAAGUACUCCAGGUAUCGUUAUUUAUAUUUUUACCACUGGGAAGGGAUUAGCAAUCAUCACUAUUGAUUACAGAAUAGAAUAUGAGAUUGAGCAUUUAUCAUUGCAUGUAUAAUUGAGAACAUUUAUAUCUAACUCUUCAUACAGGGAUAAGUGUCACAUAAAGGAUAUAUGAAAUAAUAAUAGUGACAAGGAUAACUAAUCUGAUCUAACCACAUAAUAAAUAUGAUAAGCACCUCAAUUAGAUACUCUAGAAAGUCAUUAGCAUGUUAUUAGAAUGAACUACAAGAAUAUUCCCUAAAUUAUUCUCAACUAUAUAGUCUAGCAUUAUCAUAAUUAGUGCAAGCAUACUUAGCAAUCAUUGUGAGACAAGACUACGCCCAUGCAUAGUGAUAUUAGCAAGGAAUAUGAGAAACAUAGCAAUCACUCCCCUGUAAUAAUGUUGCUCUGCCAGCCCAAUACACGAGAGGGGGACUAUAUAAGAAUCAGUGAAGCUGUCACUAUCACGAACUACCCCACGAUCUGGCAUAUUGGGUACAAUCGCAGAUAAAUACGGUAUAAGCACCACGCCUACACAAUAUCUAUCAUUUACCCAUGGAUCCGAUGGAUAAACGCUAUACGAUCCUAAGCAUGUAUAUAGAUCGAAUCUAACUAAGCCAAGUACAUAACUAUGAUAAACUAAGAACAAUAUAAUCUUGAAUAUAAGCAAGUAGAGCAAAGUCAUAAACAAUAUAUUGAAGUAGAACAAAGUCAUAUUCAUAAUAUUGAAGAACAAAGAUAAUUAGAAUGCAAUUAGAAGCACAAUUAGAGAAUUACCAAGAAUCCUCUUGACAGAUCUGGAAACCAAUCGAAGAUUGACUCCUUCUAGUUCUAAUCCUAUGUAGCUAUGCUAAUCUAGAUAUCUAAUUGAUGUGGUGGCUCUAAUCUUGAUCAGAGGCUUCUUCUUCCUUGAUGGAACAAUGAAUUAGGGUUGAGAGGCUCUCUCCUCCAGGGGCCAGGGGGUCUGGUUUUAUAAUCCCUUCAAGUGAAUAUGGGCCAUUGGAUCAAACCGACAUAGAUUGUAUGGUUUAGAUUCAUCCUUUAGGUCGGUGGAGAUCUCCCACGAAGCAGAGUCCUGAUUGGACUCCCAGAGGGGGCGGGCGCCCAGGGCAGGAGGGCGGGCGCCCUGCCUCUGGCCCCGUUUCGCCUCCGCUUCGGUCUCGUGGCUUCUGGAGCCUUCUAGAUGUAAUAUAAUUGCGCGGCACGUUAAUAUCUCUAUGUAAUCCCGACGUGUGGGCCUUUCUUCCGUAUUUCCUGAUAACCCCCUGCAGAAAUAGACAAACACCAAAACUCGUGGAAUUCUGUCAGAUAAAACCCUAAGUCUAGAUGUUGAUUUCAUUUGGAUCCUUUUCUUUGUUUAUUUGAUAAUUAAAUUUGAUACUUAAGGACCGUCAACAGGCGGGCGCCCUGGGCCUGGCCCCUUUCGGCCUCUGCUUUCUUCCCGUGGCUUCUGGAAUCUUCUAGAUGGUAGAAAAUUGCCCGGUGCGUUGAUAUCUCUAUGUAAUCCUGACAUGUGGGCCUUUCUUCCUUAUUUCCUGAUAACCCCCUACAGAAAUAGACAAACACCAAAACUCGUGGAAUUCUGUCAGAUAAAACCCUAAGUCUAGAUGUUGAUUUCAUUUGGAUCCUUUUCUUUGUUUAUUUGAUAAUUAAAUUUGAUACUUAAGGACCGUCAACAAACUCCCCCAAGCUUACCUCUUGCUCGUCCCUGAGCAAGGAUGGACUCAAGAGUUUCUGCAGUGGUUUCAUGCCUUAAGGGUACACACGCAUUCAAGCAAGAUCUCAUCUCUAAGUUAGAAUAAAUUGUUAAGACUUAAAACUUACUCAUUUUACCUUUCACCAUGGGGCUUGCAACCGUCACUUGUGUCUUGAGGAGUUAUAAGAUAGAACGGUCAAGUUAAGUGUCAUGUCUCUUGUUCUUUGAUCAGCUAUAGCUCUGGAGUUUUUGCAGAUUUUCAAAUAAAACUCAGAGAUUCCUUGUAUGAUUCUCUCAAAUCUCACUUUUGUGGUAUUUCUGGAUCCUUACCAAGGCAGUAAUGGUAUAUGCCUUCUCUCAAAGUAUGUGGUAUUUUUGGUAUAAUGCAUAGUGAUAUUGCCUUCUCUCUCACCCUACUCUAAUAAGGUUUUGAUAUCUGGAGCUCAUAGGUGGGAGACAGCUAAUACAUACAUACAAGACAUUUAUUGCAUAGUCAAACCAUGGAUCUAGAGAAACAAGUCAAUAAGUCAAAUCAAGAUGUGCAUGUGUGGCGAAUGAAUGGUGUAUGGUGAUGAUGGUGAUAAUAAUGGUGAAAGUCUAAUUCUACUUUUGCUCUUUUUAGGGGAUACAUACCUUUCUUGCACUUUGAAGCUUUUUGAGGAUAAUGAGAUGCUCUGUAUUUUCUUUUUUCUUUUUCUCUCAGGUGGGUACCUUGUACCCCUAAUUCUACUGUCGGACACUUGUCCAUUUUUACCUCUCGUCUCACUUUUUCUUUUCUUCGAGGUUCCGGGCACUUGCCCCUUUUUAUUUCCUCGUAUUCAUUUUUUUAUCUUUUCUCUUUUUUUUAGAGCACUCAUCUCCUGAAAUAAUAUAACAAGUGGUAGUAACCAAAAUAACUGGAGCUUUUAUUUCAUAGGGAAUAACAGGGAUAGGAAAAUGUUUUUGGCUAUUCUCUCCCGGAUUAGGAGUAGAAUAAUUUUGGGUGGUUCUGGAGAUGGAAAUGAGUGGAUAUAUGUGGAUGGUACUUCCGGAGUAGAAGUAGCAUGUAUGAGUGAACGUGCAAGUGAAUCUUGAUUUUAACCGCAUGACAAGCUCCUUAGGGUCUACACAGCUUGACCACACUCAAUGCUCAUAAGCAGUAAAAAGUAAAUGUGUGGCUCACAGUCUAAUAAGCAUGUAUAUAUGGCUGUGUUAGGAUUUUAAACUCUCAUCAUACAGGAACUCAUCAUGUGUUAUUUUAAAUAUUUUUUCAAAGAUAAAAUUCUCCAGAAUUCUAGCAUCUCUAGGAACAAAUAAAUAGCAGCUCAACCUUCCCAUAUUAUAUCCGUUAACAACUUAGACUUUAGAUCAAGUACUCUUCCUACAAGUUCAGGUUUAGAGCAGGUUUAAAUUAUAACAGUUAUACCUAAACUUGAGAGAGAUUUCAAUUUUAAGAACUAGUCAUGGCAGAGCAGCUAUUCAUCAUUUCCAUGUGAGAGCUUAUCAUGAGGGUUCAUAGAAAACUUUAUUUAUUUCUUUAUUUAGCAAACUAAGCAAAGAUAUAUAUAUAAAAGCACAAAAUCUUUAUUUAGGUUUUCAUGAUUAUGCAUCUUUUAUUAUUUGAGUAAAGUAUAAACGCGAGUAGAAACACUUAGCUGGAUAAAUGGGGGUGCUCUCCCCCAAGCUGGAUUUUGACGUAAUUUCUUCUGAUGUAGCUAGCAGGUGAUGGAGAUGUAUUUGAAAGUCGGCAGCACCCUGACAGCGAUUAGGAUGUCCUGCGUCUACUAGUCUUCUUUGAUCCUUGAAUUCUGUGGAGCUCAAAUAGACAACAAAGCUUUGUGGAACUGGUUAAGUGUUAGCAUAAAUAUCUAGCCUUUAUCAUGUUGAGCCUCCUCAAUAAAUGUUGCUUAUUUAGCAGGAUCAUAUACUUAUUAUUUAUAUUUUUAUUGUAAGAUGAAAACAUAUUUAUUUUAUGCCACCACAGUCAAUAUACCUAUGGGUUUUUAAACCACAAGUCUACUCACAUGGGGCUUACUAUUUUUAACAUUUUUAUUUUCUUUUCAAGAUAGUAUGAACCUGAUUAACUAAGCAAACUAUAAUUGAAUAAUUGAAAGGAAAAGGAUAACUACCAAGUUUAGCUCUUGGCAAGGCGUUCGGUGUUUUUAAGUCCUCCGGACGGGACCCUCCGUUUUCUCACUCGUCCUGGGAUUCGCUGGAUGGCGUAGUCGGUGAUUCCGGUGGCGCCUCCUCUUCGUGUAUGACUCGGUGCUACGGCCUCCUCAGGACAGUUCUGUUCAUGUUGUAUAUCUUCAGACCUUACCACUUCUCCUUCGUAGUCUGCCCAUCCGUCCUUGAUGAUUUGCCUCUUCUGGUUGCGGUUGCGUUGUCUUCUUCUUGUCCUGACCUGCUUAGAGUCUUCAACUAUAUAGUUAGAAUCAUUAAAGUAGUGGCGUACCUUCUCAGAGGGGAAGUGCAUAUGGACUUCUCUGGUUCCAAUAUAGAUGAUGGCUUUGAUAGUGUUUGAGGAACGGUCUUCCAAGGAUGAUGGGUGGAUCGAACUCGUCUUUUCCCAUGUCAAUGAUCUGAAAAUCAUCUAGAGCUGAAUAUAUAUUGGUUGUAGGGGCAUGGUUCCAUGCAGGAGCUCAUAAGUGACUGCGGCCAUUAUGUUGUCGUUAGAUCCGAUGUCGUAGAGUGUCUUCUAAAAAGAGUAUCUGUUGAUUGUGCACUCAAUGCUUGGAACACCAGGGUCGUCCUUCUUGAUCAAGAAAGGUGACUUGAGUCGACAAUCUUGACCUCCUUGAGCUGCAGUGACCAUCUUAGCUGACUCGGUCCACAUUUGCUUGUUCCUGUUCCUCCUGUUGGUCCUCUUCCUUGGUUCAUGUCAGGAUUGCUCUGAAGUUUGUGUAGUCUUGUUCUUGAAGGAAAGUCUCCUUCUUCCCCUUGAUGUAGAGACUGAUCUUGGCAGCAUUAGCGUAGAUGACAGCUCUGGUGUUUAGGAAUGGCCUCCCUAAGAUGAUGGGUGCCCUCUCCUCAGUACCAGUCUCUAUCACCACGAAGUUUGCUGGAGCGUACAAGGUACCAACUCGGACACAGAGGUUCUUCAAUAUUUCCUUUGGGAAACUAAGUGUCUGAUCUCCAUUGUGUUUGUGCUCGUAGAUUCCGGUUCUUCACUUGGUGGAAUCUGGGAGUUGUAAAACUCCUCCAUGUUUUGUUUGAAGUGUACCUAUUCAUAGAGACAAGGCAGAGAUCAAGUGCAUGGGCCCUGUUGGUGGAAAACACCAACAGAACCAAAAGUGUAUUUGUUCUUCUCUAACCUUAAGCAUAGUGAGCAAGACAAAGUUGAUGGAUCAUGAGUGUAGCAUUUAAAACAUUUGUU
rnacentral:lncRNA from 1 species